UACAGAGGGUGCGAGCGUUGUUCGGAAUUACUGGGCGUAAAGCGUGCGCAGGCGGUUUUGUAAGCCAGAUGUGAAAUCCCCGGGCUUAACCUGGGAAUGGCAUUUGGGACUGCAAGGCUUGAGUGCGGCAGAGGAGACUGGAAUUCCUGGUGUAGCAGUGAAAUGCGUAGAUAUCAGGAGGAAUACCGAUGGCGAAGGCAGGUCUCUGGGCUGACACUGACGCUCAUGCACGAAAGCGUGGGGAGCAAACAGG
rnacentral:rRNA from 1 species